UUGUAUGAAUUCCACAGAAAAGGUUUUUGAAAGUGAAGAUGAAAGCCCACAGGAGGCACACUGUUCAUCUACUGCUGAUGCAGAAGAGACUCUUCCUCACAUCGAGAGCCCUGAAAUUCCACCAACCAAGAAGCGAAGACAACGGCCGUUGGUUGAAAUGCCGGAAGAAGUCGGCGCUAUGAGGCCUUCCUCACAAGGUGAACUCUUUACACAUGUCUUUUGUACGUCAGUAAAGAUUGUCUGUUCCUCUUUGGAAAUGGAUUUUAUUCAGUUUACCAAUUUAAAGUUGUAUCAGUUAUAACAGCCCUAUCAGAAUAUACAAAGGUUGGG
rnacentral:lncRNA from 1 species